GUGCUCGCUUUGGCAACACAUAUACUAAAAUCAGAAUGAUAGAAGAUUCGCAUUGCCCCUGCCCGAGGACGACACGCGAAUUUGUGAAGCGUUCCAUGAUUUU
ensembl:snRNA U6 U6 spliceosomal RNA